AGAGUUUGAUCCUGGCUCAGAACGAACGCUGGCGGCAUGCCUAACACAUGCAAGUCGAACGCUCAUCUUCGGAUGGGAGUGGCGCACGGGUGAGUAACGCGUGGGAACCUGCCCUGGGGUGGGGGAUAACCGAUGGAAACGUCGGCUAAUACCGCAUACGUCCUGAGGGAGAAAGAUUUAUCGCCCUGGGAGGGGCCCGCGUCGGAUUAGCUAGUUGGUGGGGUAACGGCCUACCAAGGCGAUGAUCCGUAGCUGGUCUGAGAGGAUGAUCAGCCACACUGGGACUGAGACACGGCCCAGACUCCUACGGGAGGCAGCAGUGGGGAAUAUUGGACAAUGGGCGCAAGCCUGAUCCAGCAAUGCCGCGUGAGUGAUGAAGGCCUUAGGGUUGUAAAGCUCUUUCGGCGGGGACGAUGAUGACGGUACCCGCAGAAGAAGCCCCGGCUAACUUCGUGCCAGCAGCCGCGGUAAUACGAAGGGGGCAAGCGUUGUUCGGAAUUACUGGG
rnacentral:rRNA from 1 species